AAGGAUUUAAGUUAAAGCAGCCAAACUUUUAGCCUUCAAAGCUAAAAAUAGAAAUUUUCUAAGCCUUA
rnacentral:tRNA from 1 species